GAUGAACGCUAGCGGGAGGCCUAACACAUGCAAGCCGAGCGGUAGAGAUUCUUCGGAAUCUUGAGAGCGGCGUACGGGUGCGGAACACGUGUGCAACCUACCUUUAUCAGGGGGAUAGCCUUUCGAAAGGAAGAUUAAUACCCCAUAAUAUAUUUGAUGGCAUCAUUAGAUAUUGAAAACUCCGGUGGAUAGAGAUGGGC
rnacentral:rRNA from 1 species